GCACAAAAAAUUGAAUUAAACCUCCACCCAUUUUCUAAAAACCAUUCUAACCCCAUUUUACACCUCCGCAACACCUUCUCUUCCACAUUUUCCCUAUAAACACCAACUUUUUCGUCUCAAUUUCCCACAUAAAGCUAAAAAUUUGUGGGUGCUGUUGGAGUGCAAAUCUUAUUACUAGUUUAGCUUUACUUUCAUAACACUGUUCAGAAGAAGUUAAUAAACAUAUAAUAGAGCUGAGGAUUUUUUUUAAUUUUUUUUUUUUUUGGGACAGGAAAAAUGGGAGAGGGGAUUAUAAGGUAGAGAAUCUGACCCUCACUAACAAUGUAAAAGUUUAGAUAGCCAACCAACUGAACUCCGAAAAUUCCCCAAGCUAUUUGAAUUUAACAUAGCCAAUUAGUAAACCAAAGAAGCCAAUUAACCAUUCUAAGUUACCAACAAGUUUAUGGAAAGGCAAACUAACUGAUUCCCUGCAUAAUAGAAACAAAUUUCCUAAAGCAGACUGAAAUUAGAUAAACUUGCAAGAACCUGAUCUCAACCAUCUUUAUGUUUCAAUUUACAAUGUUCAGCAAGGCAAUUAUUAACCCCUCCAGAUAAAUGUUACUCUCAAAUGAAUAAGAAACAAAGUUACUAGAGGCCGUUUUUAGAAAAUGGGUUGGGUUUUAAUUUGGUUUAGUAGAAUAGGUCGCAAGUAAUUUAAUUGAAAUCGGGAUAUUAUGGUGGAUUUGGGGUUUCCAUCAAAUGAGAGAUAUUUUUGAUAACUUUAUUAAUGGCAGGCGAAAAAUAACCCCAAGAUAUAACGAGGAAUAAAACUGACCAAUAAAUAAAAGUAGAAGAGUAUUAAUUUUGUAAAUUUAAUUGUGACAGAAAUAAUUCUUUUCAUGUAUAUGCACAAAAAAAAUUAUUUUGUAGAAAAAUUAACCACAAUUUUAAGUAGAAUUACAAUUUAGAAAUAUGAGUUCACAAGAAUAAUUGAUUCUCGUGGGUAAUUGCUCUAAUCACGUAACAAUUACCCAAUUAACUUCGAGGAGCAUUUACACUACAUAUCAUGUCAAUUAAAAAAUAACUAUAGGUGACCUGAUAGUGAAAAAUAAUAAAUGGUACUGUAUAAGUUAUGAUCGAGCUACGUCAUAACUUGUGACAGCGAGACGUGCUAGUAAUGGGAAAAAAAACACAACAUUUGUAGGGGAUUUGUGAUUUAACAUUUGCUCCAUAUCUGGUUAUCACCUCUGAUAUUAAUGUAACAUUU